rnacentral:rRNA from 1 species
CAGCCGCCGCGGUAAUUCGUAGGGGGCGAGCGUUGUCCGGAAUUAUUGGGCGUAAAGCGCGCGCAGGCGGUCCUUUAAGUCUGAUGUGAAAGCCCACGGCUCAACCGUGGAGGGUCAUUGGAAACUGGGGGACUUGAGUGCAGGAGAGGAGAGCGGAAUUCCACGUGUAGCGGUGAAAUGCGUAGAGAUGUGGAGGAACACCAGUGGCGAAGGCGGCUCUCUGGCCUGUAACUGACGCUGAGGCGCGAAAGCGUGGGGAGCAAACAGGAUUAGAUACCCUGGUAGUCCACGCCGUAAACGAUGAGUGCUAAGUGUUAGAGGGGUCACACCCUUUAGUGCUGUAGCUAACGCGAUAAGCACUCCGCCUGGGGAGUACGGCCGCAAGGCUGAAACUUAAAGGAAUUGGCGGG